AGUGAAUCAUCGAAUCUUUGAACGCACAUUGCGCCCGCCAGAAUUCUGGCGGGCAUGCCUGUUCGAGCGUCAUUU
rnacentral:rRNA from 1 species